AUUGAACGCUGGCGGCAUGCCUUACACAUGCAAGUCGAACGGCAGCACGGGGCAACCUGGUGGCGAGUGGCGAACGGGUGAGUAAUGCAUCGGAACGUACCUUUCAGUGGGGGAUAACGUAGCGAAAGUUACGCUAAUACCGCAUAUUCUGUGAGCAGGAAAGCAGGGGAUCGCAAGACCUUGCGCUGAUUGAGCGGCCGAUGUCAGAUUAGCUAGUUGGUGAGGUAAAGGCUCACCAAGGCGACGAUCUGUAGCGGGUCUGAGAGGAUGAUCCGCCACAAUGGAACUGAGACACGGUCCAGACGCCGCCGAGAGGCAGCAGUGGGGAAUUUUGGACAAUGGGGGCAACCCUGAUCCAGCCAUGCCGCGUGAGUGAAGAAGGCCUUCGGGUUGUAAAGCUCUUUCGGCCGGGAAGAAAUCGCACGGGCUAAUACCCUGUGUGGAUGACGGUACCGGAAUAAGAAGCACCGGCUAACUACGUGCCAGCCGCCGCUGUAAUAC
rnacentral:rRNA from 1 species